AGCGAACGCUGGCGGCAGGCUUAACACAUGCAAGUCGAACGGGCACUUCGGUGCUAGUGGCAGACGGGUGAGUAACGCGUGGGAACGUACCUUUCGGUUCGGAAUAAUUCAGGGAAACUUGGACUAAUACCGGAUACGCCCUUCGGGGGAAAGAUUUAUCGCCGAUAGAUCGGCCCGCGUCUGAUUAGCUAGUUGGUGAGGUAAUGGCGCACCAAGGCGACGAUCAGUAGCUGGGCUGAGAGGAUGAUCAGCCACAUUGGGACUGAGACACGGCCCAAACUCCUACGGGAGGCAGCAGUGGGGAAUAUUGGACAAUGGGCGCAAGCCUGAUCCAGCCAUGCCGCGUGGGUGAUGAAGGCCUUAGGGUUGUAAAGCUCUUUUGUCCGGGAAGAUAAUGACUGUACCGGAAGAAUAAGCCCCGGCUAACUUCGUGCCAGCCGCCGCGGUAACAC
rnacentral:rRNA from 1 species